rnacentral:rRNA from 1 species
GACGAACGCUGGCGGCGUGCUUAACACAUGCAAGUCGAACGGAAAGGCCCUGCUUUUGUGGGGUGCUCGAGUGGCGAACGGGUGAGUAACACGUGAGUAACCUGCCCUUGACUUUGGGAUAACUUCAGGAAACUGGGGCUAAUACCGGAUAGGAGCUCCUGCUGCAUGGUGGGGGUUGGAAAGUUUCGGCGGUUGGGGAUGGACUCGCGGCUUAUCAGCAUGUUGGUGGGGUAGUGGCUUACCAAGGCUUUGACGGGUAGCCGGCCUGAGAGGGUGACCGGCCACAUUGGGACUGAGAUACGGCCCAGACUGCUACGGGAGGCAGCAGUGGGGGAUAUUGCACAAUGGGCGGAAGCCUGAUGCAGCAACGCCGCGUGCGGGAUGACUGCCUUCGGGUUGUAAACCGCUUUCGCCUGUGACGAAGCGUGAGUGACGGUAAUGGGUAAAGAAGCACCGGCUAACUACGUG